rnacentral:rRNA from 1 species
GACGAACCGUCCAAACGUUGUUCGGAAUCACUGGGCUUAAAGGGCGCGUAGGCGGGUCGGCAAGUCCGGGGUGAAAGCCCCCAGCUCAACUGGGGAAGUGCCUUGGAAACUGCCGGUCUCGAGGGAGGUAGGGGCCUGUGGAACUUCGGGUGGAGCGGUGAAAUGCGUUGAUAUCCGAAGGAACGCCGGUGGCGAAAGCGACGGGCUGGAUCUCUUCUGACGCUGAGGCGCGAAAGCUAGGGUAGCGAACGGG